CCUACGGGUGGCAGCAGUGAGGAAUAUUGGUCAAUGGGCGCAAGCCUGAACCAGCCAAGUCGCGUGAGGGAUGACGGUCCUAUGGAUUGUAAACCUCUUUUGUCGGGGAGCAAGGCCCGCCACGUGUGGCGGGAAGGAGAGUACCCGAAGAAAAAGCAUCGGCUAACUCCGUGCCAGCAGCCGCGGUAAUACGGAGGAUGCGAGCGUUAUCCGGAUUUAUUGGGUUUAAAGGGUGCGUAGGCGGAAGGUUAAGUCAGCGGUCAAAAUUCGGGGCUCAACCCCGUCCGGCCGUUGAAACUGGGGGCCUUGAGUGGGCGAGAAGAAGGCGGAAUGCGUGGUGUAGCGGUGAAAUGCAUAGAUAUCACGCAGAACCCCGAUUGCGAAGGCAGCCUUCCGGCGCCCUACUGACGCUGAGGCACGAAAGUGCGGGGAUCGAACAGGAUUAGAUACCCUGGUAGUC
rnacentral:rRNA from 1 species